GGGUUGUGGCGUGCCCCUGUAAUCCAGCUACCUGGAGCCCGGUGCUAGAGGACGGGUUGAGGCUGGGAGUCCUGCCCGAUGUUGACCUAUGUUGACCGGGUGUCCGCGCUAAGCUGAGCGUCGAUAUGGUGACCCCAGGGGAACCCGGUGGUGACCAGGUCGCCAAAGGAGGAGCGAACCGGCCCAGGGCGGAAACGCAGCAGGCAAAAGCUCCCGCGCUCUGCAGUAGCGGGAUAGCACCUGUGAAUGGGCGGCAUGGGGUAGCCCAGUCGAUACACCCGGACCUAGCACUUUUUUUUU